AACAGCGCUUGAUCUACAAGGGUCGCAUCUUAAAGGACGAUCAGACCUUAGUUAGUUAUGGUUUACAGGCAGAUCACACGAUUCACAUGGUUCGUGGUUUUGCCCAAGCUUCAUCAACACCUCCUGCGCCUGCUUCUAAUGUUAAUAGUAGAAGUUCUGACACUGCUCCUGGUGUCACAAGAGGUGUUGGUUCUAAUGAGAG
rnacentral:misc_RNA from 1 species